CUCAAGGGGGUGUGGGUCCCUCAGCCCAGAUUGCGAGAGGGUGCAGGCCAGGCCGAGGGACCCCACCGGUGCAUG
rnacentral:pre_miRNA from 1 species